UGAAACCUUGAAUAUAUUGCAGGGCCUUUAAUAAGACCCAAUGCACAAUUUUUGUAGACCCUUGCAGGAGCAAGGGUA
rfam:Haemonchus placei strain MHpl1 genome assembly, scaffold: HPLM_scaffold0001365